UACGAUGGAGGGCUAGCGUUGUUCGGAAUCACUGGGCGUAAAGGGCGCGUAGGCGGCUUUAUAAGUCGGGGGUGAAAGCCUGUGGCUCAACCACAGAAUUGCCUUCGAUACUGUAGAGCUUGAGACCGGAAGAGGUAAGUGGAACUGCGAGUGUAGAGGUGAAAUUCGUAGAUAUUCGCAAGAACACCAGUGGCGAAGGCGGCGAUCUGGGCAGAUACUGACGCUGAGGUGCGAAAGCGUGGGGAGCAAACAGG
rnacentral:rRNA from 1 species